rnacentral:miRNA from 1 species
AACCCCAUCGACCGGAAGGAAUUCCUUCCAAUCGAUGAGGUGGAACAGCCUCAUCGACCGGAAGGAAUCCCUUCCGGCCGAUGAGGCC